rnacentral:rRNA from 1 species
GUAGGUGGCAAGCGUUGUCCGGAAUUAUUGGGCGUAAAGCGCGCGCAGGCGGUUCUUUAAGUCUGAUGUGAAACGCCCACGGCUCAACCGUGGAGGGUCAUUGGAAACUGGAGAACUUGAGUACAGAAGAGGAAAGCGGAAUUCCACGUGUAGCGGUGAAAUGCGUAGAGAUGUGGAGGAACACCAGUGGCGAAGGCGGCUUUCUGGUCUGUAACUGACGCUGAGGCGCGAAAGCGUGGGGGAGCAAACAGGAUUAGAUACCCUGGUAGUCCACGCCGUAAACGAUGAGUGCUAAGUGUUAGGGGGUUUCCGCCCCUUAGUGCUGCAGCUAACGCAUUAAGCACUCCGCCUGGGAGUACGGCCGCAAGGCUG